rnacentral:rRNA from 1 species
UACAGAGGUCUCAAGCGUUGUUCGGAUUUACUGGGCGUAAAGCGCACGUAGGCGGAUCGUUAAGUCGGGGGUGAAAUCCUGGAGCUCAACUCCAGAACUGCCUUCGAUACUGGCGAUCUUGAGUCCGGAAGAGGUGAGUGGAACUCCUAGUGUAGAGGUGGAAUUCGUAGAUAUUAGGAAGAACACCAGUGGCGAAGGCGGCUCACUGGUCCGGUACUGACGCUGAGGUGCGAAAGCGUGGGGAGCAAACAGG